ACUCCUACGGGAGGCAGCAGUGGGGAAUCUUAGACAAUGGGGGAAACCCGUGAUCUAGCCAUGCCGCGUGAGCGAUGAAGGCCUUAGGGUUGUAAAGCUCUUUCAGCUGGGAAGAUAAUGACUGUACCAGCAGAAGAAGCCCCGGCUAACUCCGUGCCAGCAGCCGCGGUAAUACGGAGGGGGCUAGCGUUGUUCGGAAUUACUGGGGCGUAAAGCGCACGUAGGCGGAUCAGAAAGUCAGAGGUGAAAUCCCGGGGCUCAACCCCGGAACUGCCUUUGAAACUCCUGAUCUUGAGGUCGAGAGAGGUGAGUGGAAUUCCGAGUGUAGAGGUGAAAUUCGUAGAUAUUCGGAGGAACACCAGUGGCGAAGGCGGCUCACUGGCUCGAUACUGACACUCAGAUGCGAAAGCGUGGGGAGCAAACAGGAUUAGAUACCCUGGUAGGACAGUG
rnacentral:rRNA from 1 species